GACGAACGCUGGCGGCGUGCUUAACACAUGCAAGUCGAACGGAGUGGCGAACGGGUGAGUAACACGUGGGUGAUCUGCCUUGCACUUCGGGAUAAGCUGGGGAAACUGGGGCUAAUACCGGAUAGUGCAAGAUGAGCGGUGGGCCUAUCAGCUUGUUGGUGGGGUAAUGGCCUACCAAGGCGUCGACGGGUAGCCGGCCUGGGAGGGUGUACGGCCACCUUGGGACUGAGAUACGGACCAGAAGCCUAUGGGAGGCAGUAGUGGGGAAUAUUGCAGAAUGGGCGCAAGCGUGAUGCAGCGGCGCCGCGUGGGUGAUGAAGGGCUUCGGGUUGUAAACUCCUUUCGACAGGGACGCGGUACCUGUAUAAGAAGCACCGGCUAACUACGUGCCAGCAGCCGCGGUAAUUC
rnacentral:rRNA from 1 species